UUUCAUAUCAAACAUCAAAACCCAUCAGUUAAAAACUCACAUGGUGAAAGCAUGUGGUUCUCUUGUUCUUUUAUGCAAUCAGAAUUUUUGCAAAUGAUUUGCGUCACAGGUGAACCUUUUAUUUCACCACAGUAUAAAACCGGGCUUUAGUAGCACUAAGGAUAAGCGAAGAACAUAGAACUCCGGUUUUGGUUCCUAUUUUAAAGCUGAACUUUCCAUAAAUCAAAAAUUCUCAAAAAUUCGUGGAUACCUAAAUUUGAAGGAAAAUGAAGCUUCUCCUACCCUCCUUGAUUUUCGUUUUCGCCAUGGUGCUGGGAGAUACACGUGGCCAAGGUGUAAUUGGUGGGGAUGGGGAGACAUUUCUAAAUGAUACAGAUUCAGAUUUGGUGGAUGAAGACGAGCUUCAGAUGCACCCCGCCGUGGUCAACGGUACGAAUAUGCGGCUUUAUGAGUGCGUCUAUUGUGGGGGAUAUACUAAAGCAAACUGCAGAUAUAGGUGUAGGUGCGCAAAAUAUCCAUGCUAUACAUGCGAAGAGUACGAUUGUAACUGCCACUCAGACUGUCAUUACAUUCGCUAAAUUUCAGCUUUGAUUAUGUAUGUAUGGUUAUCAUAAAAACCCGUAUUGGACGAAUUGGUAUAAUCUUAAUUAGGCCUAACAAAAUUUUGUAAUAUAAUUUGAGAAAUAAAAGAAAAUUUGUAAUCUAA